GACAACGUGGUGUAGUGGUUUGAAUAUUGGACUAUACCUCUGGGAGACCAGGGUUUGAAUCCCUGCUCAGUCA